UUAAUUACAAAACAUACAUGGUGGUCCUGCAGGCAUGUUGUUGACAGUAGCCUGUAGAGAAAGGUGCAUAAUCCCAUUUUACCAGUAGCCCACCUGCCCACAUACACAUUUUAUCUAUGCUAGUGAUUGUUGCUCAAAAAGGGGAAAUAUAAAACAGCCUUUCUAAAACUUCUCUGCCUGUUUGUCUGGAGGAAAUUCUUAUUCACCACGGGUGACCAGGCAAGAAUAUUAAGUUGCAAACAUGACACAAUGGCCGAAUUAACUGCUGCGUAGGAAAAACAGCUUUGUAGUUUUCCUUUCUUGGCAAAAUUUAAAAUCAGAUAUUCACUGGGAAAGAAUUGCUUGGGGGUGAAAAAGAAUCCUCUGUUAUUGUCAAGCUGCUCAUAGCAGUGCAUGAUUGAGGGAAACUACUUUUAAAAGCCAAAAAAAGUUGUAUUUGUAGAUUGUUAUUUUAAAAAAUGUAAAUAACUGAAUUUUCCGCAACGGUUUGGAGUCAGCUUUCAGGGCUUAAUGUCUUGCUUGAUGAAAAGAUCGCCCAAAACCCCCCUUUUAAAGGAAAAUUAUCGCAGGAGAAUUCAGGAUGUCUUAAAGCUAACAUGCACCGAAAAACUCAAAAGGUAACCUAAAUGUCUGAUUUUAAUAGCGCAUUUCUUUUACAUAAACUGUGACGGCAACUUGCAUAAACUUUAUUAUUGCUGAAGAAAUUCUUCACAUGUUAAUUUUAAUGUAAAAUUUUGCAACAAAAAGAUGGCUUAAAAAUAGAUACUUAAAAUACAUCCACUUGCUUCUGCAUAAAUUAGCUAUAAUGUUUAAUAAUUGUGCCCUUUAUCAAUGCAAUGGACCGUAACCGUGGGCAACAAAGUCAAAAAGAAUCAAGCCUUAAAUAUCAAAACUGGAUGUAGCGAGUCCUUUGUUUUUGCCCACCAAAUCUAUACAUCUGUAAAAAGUAAAACACUGGCCCUAAUUUACCCAAUAUUGCUGUUCACUAUAUUAAAGCAUUCAGUACUUAGAUUUUUAAGUUGCAUGUUUUCUUUCCUGGGGUGUGUAAAUUGCAUGCAAGAACACUAUAAAUGUUGUUUCAACCUGUGUGUCAUUCUGAGGAGGCUUACACUUUCCUUCUCCUAUUUGCAGGAGGUGGUCUGCCAUUGGUUGGGAUGAAAGCGGCUUUUGCUGAGGACAAGUUGGGUGAAUCUUCAGUUCCCAGAAAAAUUAUUUGGAAACUGCCUGCUACAGGGCAUAUUCUUACCAAGAGGUGAUCUUUUGGAGUCUUACAAGUUUAUGUAAAUCACAGCUGAACAGAGGCUUUGAAGAUUUUCACCAGAUCUGUAUUUUGGGUCUGAUGUCAUUUCCAUACUCAGUUCAGUCUCCUCAAGAUGGAUAUGCCAGCAGUUAACUGUCUGGAAUUCAGUGUACUUUUCUGCUGGCAUAAUUUAACGCAGUGCAGUGCAUUGCAAGUGAUUGAGAUGUUUCCUGAAUAAUUCAUUCACUAUGUGCUUUUCUUAUGGAGUAACAUAAUUGGACUUUCUAGAAGUUCUUUGUACUAGACUGCUGUUGAGUAUUUUAAUAAAGAUAUUCCUUUUCUUAAAAAAAA